CCUAUCGGGUGGCAGCAGUGAGGAACAUUGGUCAAUGGGCGCGAGCCUGAACCAGCCAAGUAGCGUGAAGGAUGACUGCCCUACGGGUUGUAAACUUCUUUUAUAAAGGAAUAAAGUGAGGCACGUGUGCCUUUUUGUACGUACUUGAGGAAGAAGGAACGGCUAACUCCGUGCCAGCAGCCGCGGUAAUACGGAGGAUCCGAGCGUUAUCCGGAUUUAUUGGGUUUAAAGGGAUCGUACGUGGGUUGUUAAGUCAGUUGUGAAAGGUUGCGGCUCCACCGUAAAAUUGCAAUUGAUACUGGCAGUCUUGCGUACAGUUGAGCUAGUCGGAAUUCGUGGUGUAGCGGUGAAAUGCUUAGAUAUCACGAAGAACUCCGAUUGCGCAGGCAGCAUACCGGCGCUCAACUGACGCUGUGGCACGAAAGCGUGGGGAUCGAACAGGAUUAGAUACCCCUGUAGUC
rnacentral:rRNA from 1 species